rnacentral:lncRNA from 1 species
UUUGAUGAAGAUACUAGAGCUUAAAUAAGGAAAGUGCAUACAAAUCUUUAUAUAUUUAGUCUUAUAUUAAUUAUAUAGUGGGUAUAUUUGAAUGCUUAUAUAGAAUUUAUAAAUUUUUUUUUGGAAGAAGGCUCGGAUCCGGAUAGGUAGUGUUGUUGGAAUUUGGACCCGAGGGUGACCGUCGGCUGAGGAGGGAGGAGCUCCGGCGAGAAUCGACGUCGAACGGCGGUCCGGCUGGCGCGCGACGUCCUCCGGAAAACCUGCAAGGAGCCGGUGGCCGGGGUUCCCGGCGCCGG